AUUUAGAGCAUGAUGAACCCAGCCGUUAGCAGGAAGGCGGCACAACAACGUCAGCGGCGCACCUACAGAGUGAGAAGAGAUAUUUUCGCUGAGUACGACGAUGCUGAGUUACUGAAAAGAUUCAGAUUGGACCGUGCUGGUAUUGUUGCAGUGACUGAUAUAGUGAGAGACAAGCUGCAAAGUAAAACUGAAAGAAAUAGAGCCUUGACCCCUGAGAUGGUGGCCAUCACAUUACGAUAUUUAGCCACAGGAAAAAUGCAACAGUGCAGUUGUGAUGAUUUUGGAACAACGCAGCCCACUAUCAGCCGUGCAAUAUCACAGACAAUUGAUGCACUGGCUGACCCAGAAGUAAUCUGCCAGUUCGUGGCUUUCCCUCACACCCAGCGUGAAGUGCAGCAAAAACAGGCAGAGUUCAUGCAAGUAACUCAGUUUCCCGGUGUUGUGGGAGUGAUUGAUGGCACUCAUAUAAGAAUUGUGUCUCCUCAUGUCGAUGAACAUGUAUAUGUGAACAGGAAACGCUAUCACAGCAUAAAUGUGCAAGUAGUAUUUGAUGCUCACUAUAAGAUUCUUGACAUUGUGGCAAGGUGGCCUGGCUCAGUCAACGAUGCAAGAAUACUAGAUAAGUCAGCACUCAAACUGAUGUUUGAGGAACAACAUGUACCUGCAGGAUGCUACCUUCCCGGGGACAGUGGCUAUCCCUGUAAGCAGUGGCUCCUCACUCCUUACCUUCGCCCUCAAACUGUUGCACAAGCUAAUUAUAACAGUUCCAGUACCUUACGAUGCAGCCGAGGGGACUGACGCCACCACCACCACUGCCACCACCGCCACAACAAGGGUUAUUCGAGUGGGGAACAUGCUUCAGGUGUUGCCCCAAGAUGCCUCAGCCCCGCAGCCCCACUUCCCCAUGAUAGUGCAGGCAGGGAAUGUCAUACAGGUUGUUCCAGCUGACAACACGCAGGUAUUAGGGGCAGAAGUCGUUGGAGUUGGUCGGGUCAUGCAAGUGGUCGGAGUCCCAGGCUUUCCCCCGACCCCAGCCCCAGACCCCUGCCCCAGCCACCCCUCUCCCUGUGACCCCUGCCCAGUCAUCCCUCACCCCCUCCUGCCCCCCUGCGGUGCUGCCAGCGGGGGUGAUGGGAGGUGGAGGUGGGCCACACACACCUGGGUUAGCUGUGGCUUGGCUUAUCUCCCUCCUCAGCAGCAAAUCCCGAGGAUCAACGAGGACAUGGUGGACCCAGAGAUUGCAGCAGCAGCGAGAGAGAGAGAGAGAAGCAAGAGAGGAGGGAGAGGAAGGAGAGGAGGAGGAGAGAGAGGGAGGCCAGGAGGGAGGCACGUCAGAGAGAGAGGGAGAGGAAGAGGUUGAUUCUGUUACAACAACAACUGCAACAACAACAACAGUUAGUCAGUGAGGAGGGGGAGGGGCCGUCCUCUGAUGCUGAGGAUGAGGUAUUGUUCAGGGAGGCCAUGUCGGAGGUGCCGGUGGUGGGGUCGCCAGUUCCGGAGUACGAGGUGGAGGAGGAAAAGGAAGAGGAGGACGAGGAGGAGGCACGGAUAAGGAAGAAGAAAAGAUUAUUAGCUGUAGCCCUCCCUCCAGCUGAUAAGGGGAUAUUAAGGAGCCCUUCCUACAGGUUCGUUCGAUGCAAGGAGUUGGCACAGGAGGCGUCCGAGGCUGUGUAGAGCGGCCGUCUGAACCUGGUGCCACAGCUUACUAUGUUCAACAGAUGCCUGAAGGAAGUGUGUGUAAGGGAGGAUAAAGAGAUCAUGCUGGCCUAUGCAGACGAUGUCGCUGUCGUGACAGGAAGCCAACAAGAUCUUCAAGAGGCCAUGACAAGAUGGAAUGAUGUUUUAAAUAGGGAAGGAAUGAGAAUGAACAAACAAAAAACUUAUUUACUAGUGGACAAGCAACAAGUGAUGGUGUGGCUCUGAGCCACUGUAGUAGGGAUGUUAUGGUUUAAGUGUAGGAAGUUGCAAAUGCUCACCUAACAAUUGCACCUUAGUAGAAAAACACAAACAGGAAGUUUAUGCAAGUUUUUAUCCUUAUAUAAAAUGUUGUAUUGCAUCAAACCUCCAUACAUUACUGUCUCUAUCCAGUAUGAGACCGGUGUUCAGGAAGCACAAGCAUGUGCUGAAUAACAAGAAGCCGGCAUUGGUGAAGGUGACAACAUUUCAUCUAUUUAUACAUACUUUUUAUUAUUAAAGCUUAUCUUAUAAUUAUUUCUGAAGAGAUUGACUAAUUUUUGUAGUAUUUAUGACUUAGAACUAUGAUAAAGCUAUGAAUUGAUAUAAUUCCUGAUUUG